rnacentral:rRNA from 1 species
GAUGAACGCUGGCGGCGCGCCUAACACAUGCAAGUCGAACGAUUAAAGCACCUUCGGGUGUGUAUAAAGUGGCGAACGGCUGAGUAACACGUGGGCAACCUGCCCCUUUCAUUGGGAUAGCCACGGGAAACCGUGGAUAAUACCGAAUACUUCGAGACUUCCGCAUGGAAGACUCGAGAAAGCUCCGGCGGAGAGGGAUGGGCCCGCGGCCUGUUAGCUUGUUGGUGGGGUAACGGCCUACCAAGGCAAUGAUGGGUAGCUGGGUUGAAAGACCGACCAGCCAGAUUGGGACUGAGACACGGCCCAGACUCCUACGGGAGGCAGCAGUGGGGAAUCUUGCACAAUGGGCGAAAGCCUGAUGCAGCGACGCCGCGUGCGGGAUGAAGGCCUUCGGGUUGUAAACCGCUUUCAGCAGGGACGAGGCGAAAGUGACGGUACCUGCAGAAGAAGCCCCGGCUAACUACGUG